CAGUAGCCACGGGAAUACGUAGGUGGCAAGCGUUGUCCGGAAUUAUUGGGCGUAAAGCGCGCGCAGGCGGAUAGGUCAGUCCGUCUUAAAAGUUCGGGGCUUAACCCCGUGAUGAGAUGGAAACUGCCAAUCUAGAGUAUCGGAGAGGAAAGUGGAAUUCCUAGUGUAGCGGUGAAAUGCGUAGAUAUUAGGAAGAACACCAGUGGCGAAGGCGACUUUCUGGACGAAAACUGACGCUGAGGCGCGAAAGCCAGGGGAGCGAACGGGAUUAGAUACCCCUGUAGUCCCUGUCUCUUAUACA
rnacentral:rRNA from 1 species